UACAGAGGUCCCAAGCGUUGUUCGGAUUUACUGGGCGUAAAGGGUGCGUAGGCGGUCGGGUAAGUCAGAUGUGGAAUCUCCGAGCUUAACUCGGAAAAUGCAUUGGAUACUAUUCGGCUUGAGGUCUGGAGGGGGGACUGGAAUUCUCGGUGUAGCAGUGAAAUGCGUAGAUAUCGAGAGGAACACCAGUGGCGAAGGCGAGUCCCUGGACAGGUCCUGACGCUGAGGCACGAAAGCUAGGGGAGCAAACAGG
rnacentral:rRNA from 1 species